rnacentral:rRNA from 1 species
AGCUCCAAUAGCGUAUAUUAAAGUUGUUGCAGUUAAAAAGCUCGUAGUUGGAUUUGGGACGGGGGUCGCGCGGUCGGCCGCGAGGUCUGUUACUGUGCGGCCCCGUCAUUUCACUCUCGGAGACCCGUCGUGCACUUCGCUGUGCGCGGCGCGGGACUCGGGACGUUUACUUUGAAAAAAUUAGAGUGUUCAAAGCAGGCUUUUUCUAGCCCGGAUACAUGAGCAUGGAAUAAUGGAAUAGGACCGCGGUUCUAUUUUGUUGGUUUCUACGACCGCAGUAAUGAUUAAGAGGGACAAUUGGGGGCGUCCGUAUUUCGUUGUCAGAGGUGAAAUUCUUGGAUUUACGAAAGACGAACAACUGCGAAAGCAUUCGCCAAGAGUGUUUUCAUUAAUCAAGAAC